rnacentral:rRNA from 1 species
CCCUUAGAUGUUCUGGGCCGCGCGCGCGCUACACUGAUGCAUUCAACGAGUUUUGUUUGUUCCUUGGCCGAGAGGCCUGGGCAAUCUUUUGAACUUGCAUCGUGAUAGGGAUAGAUUAUUGCAAUUAUUAAUCUUGAACGAGGAAUUCCUAGUAAACGCAGAUCAUCAAUCUGCAUUGAUUACGUCCCUGCCCUUUGUACACACCGCCCGUCGCACCUACCGAUUGAAUGGUCCGGUGAAGCCUCGGGAUUGUGGUUGGUUUCCUUUAUUGGAGAUUGAUUGCGAGAACUUGUCUAAACCUUAUCAUUUAGAGGAAGGUGAAGUCGUAACA